ACUUGUUAGCGAUGCUGCUGCAUUACGACCAACUUUCUGGUAUUCUGCACUUUGAUGUAGGGGAUAUACCUCUGCCAGAAUUGCAAGAGUUGAGAACCCACAAACUAGCUUUCAGCUAUGCGGCAAACUCUGAACUGGAAACUCACAGUAUUAGGCUGCCAAAAGAAAGCACUGUGGGUGAUGUGCUUGAGCAUCUCAAGG